GUCGAGCGCGCCUUCGGGUGAGCGGCGGACGGGUUAGUAACGCGUGGGAACGUGCCCUUCUCUACGGAAUAGCCUCUGGAAACGGAGAGUAAUACCGUAUACGCCCUUUGGGGGAAAGAUUUAUCGGAGAAGGAUCGGCCCGCGUUAGAUUAGGUAGUUGGUGGGGUAACGGCCUACCAAGCCUACGAUCUAUAGCUGGUUUUAGAGGAUGAUCAGCAACACUGGGACUGAGACACGGCCCAGACUCCUACGGGAGGCAGCAGUGGGGAAUCUUAGACAAUGGGGGCAACCCUGAUCUAGCCAUGCCGCGUGAGUGAUGAAGGCCUUAGGGUCGUAAAGCUCUUUCGCCUGUGAUGAUAAUGACAGUAGCAGGUAAAGAAACCCCGGCUAACUCCGUGCCAGCAGCCGCGGUAAUACGGAGGGGGUUAGCGUCGUUCGGAAUUACUGGGCGU
rnacentral:rRNA from 1 species